UGAUGACGAGACGCUAAGGCGUUGAAGCAGUGUAUGUCAGACUUCCAAGAAAAGCUCGCAAUGUCAUAAAUAAAAAGUGCCUGUACCAUAACCGACACAGGUGGGUAGGUAGAGUACACUAAGGGGCGCGAGAUAACUCUCUCUAAGGAACUCGGCAAAAUGACUCCGUAACUUCGGGAGAAGGAGUGCCUUAUUUAUAAGGUUGCAAUAACAAGAUCCAAGCAACUGUUUAUCAAAAACACAGGUCUCCGCUAAGUCGUAAGACGAUGUAUGGGGGCUGACGCCUGCCCAGUGCCAGAAGGUUAAAGAAGUUGGUUAGUGUAUGCGAAGCUGAUGACUGAAGCCCUGGUGAACGGCGGCCGUAACUAUAACGGUCCUAAGGUAGCGAAAUUCCUUGUCGGGUAAGUUCCGACCCGCACGAAAGGCGUAAUGAUUUGGAUACUGUCUCGGAGAGAGGCUCGGUGAAAUAGACUUGUCUGUGAAGAUGCGGACUACCUGCACCAGGACAGAAAGACCCUAUGAAGCUUUACUGUAACUUGAAAUUGGAAUUGGACUUUGCUUGCGCAGUAUAGGUGGGAAGCGUUGAAGAUAUUCUUGCGGGAGUAUUGGAGCUAUCAGUGAGAUACCACUCUUGUAAUGUUAGAUUUCUAACUUUGAACCAUAAUCUGGUCAAAGAACAGUUUCAGGUGGGCAGUUUGACUGGGGCGGUCGCCUCCCAAAUGGUAACGGAGGCGUACAAAGGUUUCCUCUGAACGGAUAGAAAUCGUAUCUAGAGUGUAAAGGCAUAAGGAAGCUUGACUGUGAGACCUACUAGUCGAGCAGGGACGAAAGUCGGUCUUAGUGAUCUGACGGUACUGAGUGGAAAGGCCGUCACUCAACGGAUAAAAGUUACUCUAGGAUAACAGGCUGAUCUCCCCCAAGAGUUCACAUCGACGGGGAGGUUUGGCACCUCGAUGUCGGCUCAUCGCAUCCUGGGGCGGUAGUACGUCCCAAGGGUUGGGCUGUUCGCCCAUGAAAGCGGUACGCGAGCUGGGUUCAGAACGUCGUGAGACAGUUCGGUCCAUAUCCGGUGUAGGCGCUAGAAUAUUGAGAGGAGCCUUCUUUAGUACGAGAGGACCGAGAAGGACACACCGCUGGUGUACCAGUUAUCGUGCCAACGGUAAACGCUGGGUAGCUAUGUGUGGAGUGGAUAACCGCUGAAAGCAUCUAAGUGGGAAGCCCACCUCAAGAUGAG
rnacentral:rRNA from 1 species